GCUCAUGUGCUUGAGGCCAUGGGUGCCUGGACAGGAAGGAUGGUUCUUUUCUUCAGGAAGGAAACCACAGAGCCCCAGGGUUUUGAAGACAGAUCAGAGGCAGUCACCAGAGGCCAAGGCCUGCUCUGAGCUGUGGCUGGCAGCUGCAAGUGUGGCCCCGGCACCCAGACCCUCUGCAAUAAACCGCAAGUUCCACGACCUGGC